AAGGACUGUAAACCCCAUGGAAUCACAGAAUGUUUUGGGUUGGAAGGGACCUUAAAUCCCAUCCAGUUCCAGCCCCCUGCCAUGGGCAGAGACACCUCCCACCAGACCAGGCUGCCCCGUGUGGGGCUGCCUGUUGGACACCCCUCACGUCACAGUGCUGGCGCACCAUUCCCAUGAACGUAAACAUUCGAAUAGCUCUGAUUGAUGUUCACCUAAUUAUAUCUCCGUAUGCCAGCAAAUGUUUGUUAGCAGCCAAAUGCUUCAUACGUACUUAGAAGGCAAAACUUCUUAACGAACCAUCAUUCCCAGAAGUGACGCUCACCAUCAGCUUCUGUCCUGUCACCUCCAAUAAGCGCUGCAGCCCAAGACAGGAACCAUCUUCCCUCAGACUGUCCUGCCACACGAACGCUAAUCCCAGCCUCGGCAGCAGCAGCAUCCACGUCUCGGAGGCAUCUGCAAAGUGGAUGAAUCUUUUAUUUAAAAGCUGAAUUCAAAGGCUGCCACUGUGUGAAGAGUCCCUCCUGGAAGGAGUCUGUGCACCUUUCCGACUGGGAGGAAGUUUUGUUUGCCAAGUCACAUCUGAGGAGACGAGAUCUGGAGCAGACCGCUCGCGCUGAGGAGCAUUGCGCUAAAUCUUCCUGACAGAGUCCUCGGGGCACGUACAGCAGGAGCUACCCGUGCUGCGAAGGCACGGAGCCGAGGAGAGAAGCAAAGCCCACAGGCUGUUCAAAUUGCACGUUUACAGCAGAGAAGCCCACUGAAGCCAGUAGGCGGCAGUGAGGGGGGCACUGCCAGCAGCCUGCAAACACCACCCUCGGAGGCAAGGGCACCUCUCGUCGCACGGCUGAGCCCCUCUCCGAGCUGGCGCUCAAGAUGCACUCCAUCGUGUGGCCGUGCUGCUCGGAUGACGACCUCUGGCCAUGGCAGGAAAAGGACAUCUGAGCUUGGUAAGUGUCCACGUGUGCCCUUACCUUGUUCUCAGUGUCCACGUGUGCCAGCUUGUUCUCAGGCCUGGAGAGCAUCAGCACAGCCCCUGACCCCGAGCACCGAGCAGGGGGACCCGCACAAAAAACCAGCCAAGGACAGCACCAUACCUCCUGCGUAGGACAUGAAGGUAUACGUGCCUGCAGGACACACAGCCAAGCACAUUCACUGAGCUGCUUCUCUCUCCCUCUGCCCCCUUUCCCAUCCCAUUACCACCAGCUGAAGCACAUCGAGCAGGACUGCCCCUGACACCCGGUGGCCCUGCUUCGGGAACGGUGCCUGCUUUUUCUUGUCUUCCCAUGCCCUGAAACCUUCUGGGGAAUUCUGCAGUGGGCUGACACGCCGUGUCAGCAGCGCCCGCUGUGAAACCAAGCAGCACAGGAGCAGCUAUGCUGCUUUACAAACAUUUCCUGAAACACCUGUGCAUGGAAUUGCUCACCCCCAGGGCACUAAAUGCUCCAGCACUGUCACACUGGGUUGAUAUCUUUACUUGUAUUUUCAACCAAUGUUUAAAAAUAUAAAAGCCUAU